AAUGUCGUAACAAGGUUUCCGUAGGUGAACCUGCGGAAGGAUCAUUAAAUGAAUACCUGGACUCCGGUCCUCGUCGAGAAAUGGUCGUCCCGGGUGGCCUCCAGGUCCCCGGGGGGUCUUCCCCCCAUCCUUGACCCUCUCGUUUACUCUUACCUCCUGCUUGCUUUAGGCAUCAGCUCCUGCCCGGGUCGGUUCCCGGGGCCUUGGGGUCCGUCUUGGCCCGGUACGGGCCCCCGGAACGCCUACUGUGGGAUUAGGUCCUAUGUUUGUCUGAGUACGAUAUAAUUCGUUUACAA
rnacentral:misc_RNA from 1 species